AAAUAGUGACCCAAGCCAAUUUUCUUCCUUUUCCUUUUUCUUUGAUUUUAAAAAUACUAACUUAAUUAAUUAAAAACCUAAAUUAGGUCCAAAAUCAUAUCUAAUUUGUGAAAUAAACUUAAUUGACUAUUUUUAAUAAUUAAACAAUUAAUCAACUUAAAGCUAAUGAAAUGAAAUUACUAAUUUAAAGUUAAGGCUAAAAUGUAACAUGACCAAUAUAUUUUUUUUUAAUUUUUUUUUAAUGAAUGCAUUUAACUUAAGCAAUUAAAUUCUAAAUGCAAUUAAAGCCUAAAAUGCUAUGUAAUGAUGAUUUGAUAUUUUUGAUAUCUUUAUAUCAUUUUAAAAUAUUAAAUGUGCACAAAAAUGCAAACAAUUAAUUAAGAAAGUCCUACAAAAUUCUAUAAAACUGAAAAUAAUUUAGAAAAAACUAUUUUUUUUAAUUUUUGUAGGAGUAUUUCUAGUCGAGCAAAAAUCACGUGCUCACAGCUGCCUCUCUUUGUUCGGAAACAUGAAGAGUUUUCGGGCAAAGAUAAAAUGAGCAAUUACAAGCGAUUUUUGCCCGUUUAGAUACUCCCUGGGAAGCAUUUGAAAAGUUUGACCGAACCUUGCUUCGGAGGUUGCCUAUAUAUCCUCGGCUUUAAGGAAUCAGGUCAGUGUAGUUUUGGAAGUUUUGGUAGCUGGGACUACCGAAAGGCUGUGAUUUCACUGUUGUUGCUGCUUGGUGAGCUCCUUAUUACGCCAAAGUAAGAAUGAAAAGACUAACUAAACAUAUUAGCUACGAGUUACAAUAUUCCUAUCUACAAAUCUUCUGAAGCUUGAUCUUGAGCCUUGGUUGGUUCUUCAUACAGAUUCUGAUCUUAAUCUUGAUGCUUGCUAGCUACAGGUGCUGGUUCAUUCCUUUAUCAACUUCUUGGAUCAAGGCGAGACAUGCAAAGCUUGUGACUUUAAUCAUGUCUUGAGCAAUCCACAUCUUUUCUCCGCUUCUGCACUUUGAGUCACUUCUUUUUCUUUUAUUCCAGAUUGAGACUUCUUCUUCUGGUCGUCUCGAACCCUGUGUCUUGAGGUAUAACCUAUUCAAACACCAAAACAAAUAAACGAACGAAAUUUUUCUGCCCCAGUUUUCACUAGGAAAGAUUCGUGAGUUAUUUGUAACCAAAACUCUAUACUACUCCAUUAUUGAAAGCAAUAAAGAUCAGGAUUGUGUGUCCAUUGGGAAAAAGAGAUAUGGGAGUGGAAACCCUAUAUCUAAAAUGAAAUGAACCAGGGGUUGGAGACCCUAGGUUGGGAAAUCACUAGGUUAUGCUAGCAUCAACUAGGGAGUGAGACCCUAUGUUGAAAAAGUCAUCGGGUUAUGCUGGCAUCAACUAGGGGGUGUGACCCUAUGUUGGAAAAGUUAUUAGGUUAUGCUGGCAUCAAUUGAGGAGUGAGACCCUAUGUUGAAAAAGUCAUCAGGUUAUGCUGGCAUCAAUUAGGGAGUGAGACCCUAUGUUGGAAAAGUCAUCAGGUUAUGCUGGCAUCAACUAGGGAGUGAGACCCUAUGUUGGAAAAGUCAUAAGGACCACUACGGGAGGUCAAACCAAGGAUCUAUAGAAGUGAGGGCUCGUCCCCGGUCAAUAUUGGAUCAAACAAUAGGGGGUCGUAGCACUGGUUAUGCUGGCAUCAGCUAGGCAGUGGGACCCUAUAUUGGAAAAAAUGUAGCUAGGGAUUGGAGAUCCUAUACUACCAUGAUUUGAACUUUUCUUCUUUUCUUUUUUUUUUCAUUUCACUUUUCAUUUUUUAUUUAAGAGAAUGAGUAAAGAAUUUGGAGGGGACUUCCCUUUUGGGUUGACUAUUUCUGCACAUUUUAGUCUCUGCAUAAUUUGCUUUUGUUGCACCUGCUUCUUGCAAGGUUACUUUGAAUUACACCUGUUUUCCCUAUUUUUCAAACAAAGAACAAUUUGUCAGUUUGAAACUGUGGUUGCUUGCUUUCUGGGGAUUGGUUUCAUUCCUAAACCCGGGGAUCUUGACUUUUCCCAAACUUUAACGUGAUGAUUAACCCAUAUGGGACUUGGCCUUUUUCCACCUUAUUUUGCCUUUAUGGGCAUUUGACUUUGAUUUCCUUUCUUUUCAGGAGUUUUUGACUCCGAAGCAUCAGCCAUCAUGGCCAGUCGAAGUCGACUUGAUGCACCUGCUGAGGCUAGGUGCUUUUCUUGAAUAUUGGCUUUUUGUCAAACAAAAACUUGUAAACCAAUUUUGCCAUCUUUUAUUUGUUUUAAUUCGGAACAGAAUUAGGCCGAAAGAGAUUUAAAGAAAAAUAAACAAUGGACGGGAUAAUGAAUUUAAAUGAGAGGUGUCCCGUUCANNNNNNNNNNNNNNNNNNNNNNNNNACCCAUCAUAGCUCAUACCUCAAAACUGAGAAACCUUGCCCGAACUUUUCGAUACCGAUGGCUGCGAGGAUCCCCUUUUUGAUUAGUGACGCCCUUUGCGGGUUUUCACCAUCUGACCUCUCUCAUUUCUCUUCUCACCAUCGCCUUAUAGUGCUCUUUACGAGUUUUCACUAACAAGACUCUCUCAUUUUUAAUUUCUCUACUUACCGUCGCCCUAUGAUUCCCGUGUAGGUUUUCACCAAUAAACUCUCUCAUUUUACCGACUGAUCGGAAGGACUUGAACAUGAUUUGGAACAAAAAGAAUUUGGAUUGAAUUACGACUUUGGAACCUUUCAAAUGAAACCAUCGCCAUAUAAUUGUAACUUCUGCCCCAGUUUCGACUUUGGGGAAAUGUGGAGUUUUGUUUUGGGUGUGACUGAACCCCCCAGAGAGAGGCUGCCUACGUAUCCUUCCGGAAUCAAAUCGAACAUAGUUCAAGAAAUAUUGUUUUUUGUUUUGUUUUGUUUUGUUUUGUUUUCUCUUUCUUCAUUUUUUAACAAUAUUUUCGGGUUCCAAAGAGGUUAAUCAAAGAAAAGUAACCGGCUCAAAGGGGUUGCAAAGGGUUGAAAGUGUUUGGGUAGCGAGAAUGAAAGCCUUCAUCAUCCCAAUCGAAGAAUAUUAACACCACAAAAGGGGUUAAACAUAAUACCUUUUGACUGCAUCCGUAUUGACAGCUGUUUCGGGGUCAUUUCCUUUAAUGUCUCCCAAGUACAAUGCCCAUUUUGGCAAUAGUUUUCUUAUAAUGUAUGGACCUUUCCAAUUUGGAGCAAACUUUCCUUUUUCUUCCUCAUGAUGAGGGAGAAUACGUCUCAGAACGAGUUGCCACACUUUAAAGUUUCUAGGCCGCACUUUCUUGUUGUAGGCACGGGCCAUUCUUUGUUGAUACAACUGCCCGUGGCAGACUGCGGCCAUCCGCUUUUCAUCAAUCAUUGUUAAUUGUUCUAAGCGGGUCUUGACCCAUUCAUUGUCCUCAAUCUCAGAUUCAAUAAUGAUUCGAAGGGAUGGAAUCUCAACUUCUGUAGGUAUUACGACUUCAGUGCCAUAAACCAAUAAAUAGGGUGUUGCCCCAACUGAUGUGCACACGAUUGUGCGGUAUCCCAAUAAUGCAAAAGGUAGAUUUUCAUGCCACUGUUUAGAACUUUCAAUCAUUUUCCUGAAGAUCUUCUUGAUAUUCUUGUUUGCCGCUUCAAUAGAAUCAUUAGAUUUGGGCCUAUAAGGGGUAGAAUUCUGAUGCGUAAUCUUAAAUUGUUCGCAUACCUCCCUCAUCAAAUGGUUGUUCAGGUUUGUAGCAUUGUCUGUAAUGAUAGUCUUAGGAAUACCAAAAUGACAAAUAAUGUUGGAAUGUAUGAAGUCCACCACCGCUUUCUUGGUGACGACUUUGAAAGUGACUGUUUCAACCCAUUUUGUGAAAUAGUCAAUGGCAAUUAAGAUGAAUAUGUGCCCAUUUGAAGCUUUCAGCUCGAUGGGCCCAAUGACAACCAUACCCCAAGCAACAAACGGCCAAGGUGCUGACAUAUGAUGUAAUUUUGAAGGCGGUGCAUGAAUCAGGUCACCGUGUAUCUGACACUGAUAGCACUUGCGGACAAAACUGAAGCAGUCCUUUUCCAUGGUCAUCCAAUAAUAACCUGCUCGAAGGAUUUUCUUUGCAAGGACAUAUCCGUUCAUGUGGUGUCCACAUACUCCCGAAUGCACUUCGUUCAUGAUUUUUCCAGCCUCUUAGGCAUCUACGCACCUUAAAAGAUUCAAAUUUGGAGUUUUUUUGUACAAGACCUCUCCGCUCAAGAAGAAACUGUCGGCGAGCCUUCUAAUGGUUCUCUUUUGGUCUCCAUUGGCUUGGUCGGGAUAUUCCUUUGUUUUCAAGAAUCUUUUGAUAUCAUGAUACCAUGACUAAAUAUGUCGUUCUAUUUCAACUGCAUUGUAAUAACCAUGUCUUUCUCAAAUUUGGAUUUCCAGCGGGUCAAUGUGGAUAUUGCCCGGAUAUGGUAGCAUUGAGGCCAAAGUAGCUAGUGCAUCAGCUAACUCAUUGUGGAAUCGAGGAAUAUACCUGAACUCGACGGACUUGAACCGUUUGCUAAGAUCAUCUACAUGUUGCCUGUAUGGGAUAAGCUUGAUAUCUCGGGUUUCCCAUUCACCUUGAGCUUGUCAAAUAAUCAAGUCAGAAUCUCCCAUGAUUAACAAUUCUUCCACAUCUAGAUCAACUGCCAUGUUCAUGCCCAUAAUGCAAGCUUCAUACUCGACAGUGUUGUUUGUACAAAAGAAUUGAAGCCGAGCUGGGGCCAGAUAGUGUUGACCGGUGGGCGAAAUCAAAAUUACCCUAAUCCCAACACCUUUUGCAUUUACACCUCUGUCAAACAACAUUUUCCAAGCAUGAGUGUUUUCUGAAAUUAACUCAACUGAAUUUACUUCCUCGUCCGGAAAGUAAGUACUCAAGGGCUGAUAUUCAUCAUCAACAGGAUUCUCAGCUAGAUGAUCCGCCAAAGCUUGAGCUUUCAUCAUCGUGCGGGUGACAUACACAAUGUCAAACUCAGUGAGCAGGAUUUUCCAUUUUGCUAGCCUUCCUGUGGGCAUGGUUUUUGGAAUAUGUACUUUAGGAGGUCCAAUCUGGUUAUGAGAUAGGUGGUAUAGGCCAACAAGUAAUGCCUAAGUUUCUGGGCGACCCAAGUUAGGGCGCAGCAAGUUCUUUCCAAUAAAGUGUACUUGGCUUCAUAACUAGUGAAUUUCUUGCUCAAAUAAUAUAUGGCUUGUUCUUUCUUCCCGGUCGCAUCAUGUUGCCCGAGAACACAACCAAAAGAAUUCUCCAAAACUGUCAAGUACAAGAACAAAGGUAUCCCGGGCUCGAGUGGGACCAACAUUGGCAGAUUCGACAAAUAUUCUUUGAUUUUAUCGAAAGCCUCUUGACACUCACCCGUCUAUCUGAUUGCCGCAUCUUUCUUCAAUAGCUUAAAUAUGGUCUUGCACGUGGUAGUUAGCUGAGCAAUGAACCUACUGAUGUAAUUUAAUCUUCCCAGCAGACUCAUGACCUCUUUCUUGGUUCUCGAAGGUGGAGAAUCCCGAAUAGACUUUAUCUUUGUUGGAUCUAGCUCGAUGCCUCUCCGACUGACUAUAAACCCCAAAUGUUUCCCAGAUGGAACGCCGAAUGCACAUUUAGCUAGAUUCAACUUCAAGUCAUACUUACACAGACGCUCAAAGAACUUUCUUAGAUCCCGCACAUGGUCGUCCUGCAUUCUGGAUUUAAUGAUCACAUCAUCCACAUAUACCUCAAUUUCUUGGUGCAUCAUGUCAUUAAAGAUGGCGGUCAUAGCUCUCAUAUAAUUGCCCCGACAUUCUUUAAACCAAACGGCAUGACCCUAUAACAGUAAGUGCCCCAGGGUGUGGUGAAAGCCGUCUUUUUGCAUCUUCUUCAUCCAUCAGAACCUGGUGAUACACAACAUAACCAUCCACGAAAGACUGUAUCUCAUGUUUGGCAUAAUUGUCAAUAAGAAUGUGGAUGUUUGGUAAUGGAAAGUUGUCCUUGGGGCUUGCUUUGUUCAAAUCCCGAUAAUCAACACACACUCGGGUUUUCCCAUCUUUCUUUGGAACUAGGAUCACAUUAGCCAACCAUGUGGUGUAUCGGACCACUCGGAUCACACCAUCUUUCAACUGUUUGGUGACUUCUUCUUUGAUCUUGUCACUGAUGUCUGUUUUAAACUUUCUCUGCUUUUGUUGGACAGGUGGAUAACCAAGAUAAGUUGGCAAUUUGUGCACUACCAAAUCAACACUCAGUCCUAGCAUAUUAUCAUAGGACCAGUUAAACACGUCUUUGAAUUCGAACAAAAGUUGGAUCAAUGGAUCUCUGGUUCUUUCAUCAUCGUGAAUACUUAUCAUGGUCUCCUGGACCUCUUCCGGACUACCCAAAUUAACUGGCUUGGUUUCAUUUAAGUUUGGCUUAGGCUUAUUCUCCAAUUGUUCCAGCUCUCGAUUUAUUUUCCUAAAAGCCUUAUCUUCAUCAUAUUCUGGUUCUUGAUUCAUUAUUUUACAGUUACACAGCGUGUUAGGAUCUGGGCAUGAAGUCCGCAAGCAUGUCAUAUUAUUUAAGUCCGCAUCAUUAGAACUGAAAAAGAGAGAGAUAAGAAAAAUAACAAAAAUCAGAAAGAAUAAUGGAAAGAGAUUCAUAGAUGAUGAACUAUUGAUUUCAUUUCAUUGAAUUUGAAGAUAGGAGGGUUUACAUCAGAAUUUAAAAGACAAUAAACUAAAAACAUUCGAGUUACACCCUGAAAUAACUCGGAAUGCAGAAAAGAUGGCAAGACUGAACUCCCGUAAUUCCCGCCUGACCGGGAAUGGAGUAGCCUUCCAAUUUUGAAGUUUAGCAUCUGGCCCCAUAUAUUGCACCUCAGCAGUGCUUGAUCCCUCACCCGGUUGGACCAUGUGAACCUCGUACAACAUUUGCUUCAUUGCUUCAUAGAUGUCCUCAAUUUCAUCGGCCGUGAAGGUCUCUUCUUAUUUUUCUAUAUACCUUGGCCUAACAAAUGUCCUGGAAAGGUGCGAGACUUGCUGAGGUAGGGCCCUCCCAUAUUUCUUACGUUUACUAUCCCAAUUUACGUCGACCUCUAUAGCUUGAAAGCAUACGCCAAAGAACUUCUCGCCGAUAGUCAAAGUGAUAGGCUCUAUAGUGCCUUGUAAGGAUACCCCGAGCCCUUUCCCAGGCUUGUACCCAUGUUUGAUCAUUUUAAUGGAAACCAUGAUUGAUGUGUUUGAUAAGAAGGGUUGAGGACAUGGGGUUCCUUCCUCGCACUGGUCUGCGACCACGAUCUCAAAAUCUUGGUUGACGAUGUGUUCACUACCCUCUCUAGCCUCCAAGCAUGGGACUGACGGGUCACUGUAGGUUGAUUGUUCAUCUUCUUCGUGGUCCACUAUUUCUUGGUUUUCAUGUUCGAACUUGACCAUUUGGUAGAGAGUAGAGGGCACAGCCCCCGCGGCAUGAAUCCAAGGUCUUCCUAAGAGAAAGUUAUAGAAAGUGUCCAUGUCCAAAACUUCAAAAUAUUACUUCAAAAUCUAUGGGGCCAAUAGUUAGGACCAAGUCAAUCUCCCCUAUCAUAUCCCGCUUGACACCGUCGAAGGCACGUAUGCAAACAUUAUUGGGUCUAAUCCUUUCAGUCCCAAUUUCCAUCCUUUGUAAUGUUGAUAGAGGGCAAAUGUCAACUCCAGAUCCAGCGUCCAACAUAGCCCUUUUCAGAUAAUAUCCUUCACACUUGACAGUCAAAUGAAGGGCUUUGUUAUGGGCGGCUCCUUCCAGAGGCAAGUCAUUUCGGCUGGAGAUUUGGUUGAUUUCAAAAAAUCGCUUUGUCGUUCUUUCCAACUGUUCAACCGUGGUCUCAACCGGAACAUACGCCUCAUUCAGCAUAUUUAACAACACUUUCUGAUAUCCAUUUGAGCUUAUCAGUAGGGACAAAAGUGAGACCUGAAAGGGGGUCUUUCUAAGUUGAUCAAUUACAACAUACUUUGAGGUUUUCAUCUUUCAAAAAAAUUCCUCCGCUUCUUCAGUAUUGAUCGGCUUCUUAAGUGAAACCGCUUCUACUUUGUUUUGUUCAAUUCUUCCAGGUUGAGAUACUUCCCAGAUUGGUUCAUUUCAUUUACUUCUCUCAUGAUUUCUUUUCCUUUAUAUGUGACCAGUGCCUUAUUGUAGUUCCAAGGGACGGUAGUGGGGUCUUUCAUGGGACUCUGUGCUGCGCGGCUGAUAACCACGGGCUCAGUCAACCUUGGUAAAAUUAUCGGCCCCUGCGCCACAUAAGUCCCCUUUGGCACGUAUAUCUUUGGAUUAUUCAGCGUGACUUUCUAUUACUCAAGUCUUUUGGGAGAGCUCAACAUGAAUUGUUCCUUUCUGGGGGCCCUAGGAACAUCGAGAAUAGCAUCUUUAGGAGGUGCUACCCUUGUCUUUGUUUCCUCAACAUUUUCUGCAUUUUGGGGAGUGGAAUUGAUCUUCUUCUCAUCUCUAUCUUGUUUUGCUACCCCUUUGGCUUUCUUUUCUGAGUUGGCGAUAACAAUGAUAACUUUCAAAGCUGGGUUGAAUUCUUUGUCCUCACAGAUCAUCCCAAUGACCAACCCAUUGUUGUGAGCCGACGAUGGGUUGUUAGGUACAUUGGGUACUUCCUCAUCCCUCAACACUACCCGCUUCUGUUCCUUUCUGCCCCUUAGUGAUUAGCGCACCUGGUACCUGGCCUAUAGGAUGGAGAUUCUGGAUUCUGCCUGUUUGGAGGUACAGGCUGUAACAGGCCCAUUUUGGACUAAUUUUGGGAAGAGGCUGGAAUAUGACUCACCAAUAGGUGUGAAGUUAGCUUUUCUGGGUGGUUCACGGGGACGGGUGUUAUAUUGGUAAUUAUCCUGUGGUGGAUGUGGAUUAUACGAGGCUUGGUGAGGAGGGUUGUUUCUUGGAGGCGAAGCUCGGUUCUGAUUGUAAUGGUUGGGCAUUCAUUACUGCAUAAGGAUGAGGGGCCAUAACAUAUGCUGCAUCCUGGUUGGGGUAGUAAUGUUGCGAGGUCCUAGAAGGGGAACCAAAGUAACCUCAGGGUUGACGAGAAUUCCUCAAGCUUGAAGCCAUCAUGGCUCCCUCUUCUUUCUUUUUCCGAUUGGCUAAACCUCCCGAACCGCUCUGGAUGGCUUGGGAAGUGGCUCUUAUAGUUGAUUGACUCAUGAUGCGACCUGUUUUCAAGCCAUUUUCUACCAUUUCUCCAAUCUUUAUGGCCUUAGCGAAUGGUUUGCCCAUAGCAGACAUCAUAUUUUGGAAAUAAUCGGCCUCUUGAGCCUGUAAGAAGAUACUGACCAUCUCUGCCUCAUCCAUUGGGGUUUUACCCUGGCCGCUUGUUCACGCCAUUUGAUAGCGUAUUCUCGGAAGCUUUCCGAAGAUUUCUUUCCGAGGUUGGACAAAGAAUUUCUGUCCGGAGCUAUGUCCAUAUUGUAUUGGAACUAUCUUACAAAAUCCCAGGCUAGGUCAUCCCAUAUGUGCCAAUGGGAGAUGUCUUGGUCCAUAUACCACUCUGAUGCAAUUCUUGUUAAGCUCUCCCCGAAAUAGGCCAUCAAAAGUUCUUCCUUUCCGCCCGCCCCUCUCAGCUGAUUGCAAUAUCUCUUCAAAUGGGCGAUCGGGUCUCCAGGCCCGUCAUAUCUUUCAAAUUUGGCGUUUUAAAGCCAACGGGUAGAUGAAUGUGAGGAAACAUGCACAGAUCCGCGUACGAGACACUCUUUUGGCCACUCAGGUCUUGCAUGUUCUUAAGACUUUGUUCGAUGCUUUUCAUCUUUUGAGUUAUCUCUUCUUGCUCGGGGUUCUUCACAGUUUUUUCUUGUUCCAUGGGAGACUCAUAUCGAGGGUGCUGAGGGUAGGAGUUUGGGGUGACAUGAUCCGUGUCUAGUUGAAAUUAUGGUUACUUGGAAAGUGAAGGCUGACGGUUCGAAACAUGGCCUAGGCAUUGUUGGUUGUGCCGUAGUAGAGACUGGUGGUGCGGUGAAUAUUGUAGAAGAUACUCCCUAAAAUGGCUCCUGGGGGACGAACCUUAAAGGCGUACCAGUGAAAUUAGCUGACAUAGUGGGGUACCCGAACGUGAUGAACUGGUUGGUUACAGGAAUAGGGGCGUUGGAGGUUCUACUUGUCCUGGGAAUUAGUUCGGGAAAUUCAGGGAUCGCACUGGGUGGUUCUCUUCCAUUAGACCAAGUGUCCCAUAUCUCCAUCAUACAGCAAUACAGUAUUCUGUUUUCUUCAGCAAUUGCUAACUCUAAGGCCAGGAUAACCGAUACUGGGCUAUCCUAUGAGGGGUUAAUUAUUGGUAGAUGACUCUCUGAUGUCAUUGCGACACUCCAUUUAGAUCUCGUAAAAUAAGGGUGUGAAGCUAGGUUUCCACAAAACCAACCACCUAAAAACAAAACAUGUUCUUAAACAACAUACACAACAUAUUGGUUAGUUCGAGACAUUUAACACGUAGGGAGUCGCACAUUGGGGAAUGUUAUGCACCUAAACAGUUAAACAUUUUUCUAAAUGUUUUUGCAAAGGUUGAGUGUCUUAUCCCGGCCUUUCUUUUUGUCCACUUCCAAAUCCUGAAUCUUUUCUUUCUUUGCGCUCUAUUAUUUUUUUUCCUUUUUUUUUGGUUUAUUCUCACUUGGGUUGUCUAUAGCUAUGAUCGGAUCCGAUGGGGAUUGCCUACGUAUCACAACGCCGCAUGAAUCAGAUCAUUACGUAGUUUAGGGGAUAAAUGCGAAAUAAAAGAAAGAAAAUUUUUGGGUUUUCAAUAUUUCAUUAAAUAAAAACUUUUUUGGUUUUUUCUAUUGCAAAGACUCCAACAUACAGACUUAAGAAAAACAAAAACAGACUUGGAGAAUACUAAUAUACUCGAAAACGUGAAAUACAGACUCAAAAAGAAAAUCAGGAAUACAUAAGAGCCUCCAAGACUACUCCAGGGGCCCGCAGGACAUCAGUCGGUCUCGAUGCGGGCCUGCGUGCAAUAUCUUCUUAGAGACGGUCUAGGUCGUUCUUCACUUGGCGGACAAAAGUCAUCACAAUAGAGAAGAAUAUGGACCUGGUCAUAUCCUCGCAUUCAUGGCACUUCAUUACGACAUAAUCAACAAUUUCUUUAAUCUUUUCUCUAAUGAUGCCCUUCUCUUGGAGUAGGCGUCCAAUUUGCUGAGACCUGGCCUCCAAAACCUGUGUGGCCAUAUGGUUUUGCUCUUGAAACUAUUGCAUGUCUUCUUCCAGUCGAGACAUCAAUGCAUAGCAAUGCUCUCUUUCUGCUUUGAAGUUCUUUGUUUGCUGGGCUAUUUCAUUUUCAAGAGUAGCCAGCUUCUUCUUUAAACCUAUGACUCAUCUGUCAUACUUUUCCCUUAGCUACUGAGCAAACCUCGUCUGUUCUUCUACAUUUUUUGCCAACUUUGCCCGGGCUUUUGCUAAUUCAUCCUUGACUUUUUCCAAGUUAGCCCCAUAAUCACACACUUUUCGUCUAAGACUGUUUAUGAGUUUUUCAUCUGUUUUGCUUCUUCCUGGGUUUUCAACGACUAUUUUCAUCCUUUGAAUUUAGGCUCGAAGGGCUUCGUUUUCUUGGGCAACCUUUUCUUUUCACCUUCAUCCGUAGCGGCCUGUACACCACUAUCAAAUUUAAUGUUUCUGAUUUGCCCCUCUAGUUUGCUUAUGGUAGCCCUAUAGUCAUUCUGUUUGGUUAACCAAGCCCAUUGUUCUUGCGAUGCGUCAACAAAUUCUUGGAUGUGGGGCAUUUUGGUUGGCCUUUCAGAUUCAUCAUUUGUAGCGACUCUCUUUCCAUACCAAGCAAGAUAACCAGGUGAAACCUCGCCCCUGGAUAAAUCACGUACUUGGGUGUUCGCCCCCAAAUAUUGGCAUUCGCUCCAAAUUCGGCGAACCACUUCUUCAGUAAAUUGAGCUUCGGAGCGGAUUUCAACUACAUGAAUACUAAGAUCUUUGUCUUUGGGAACUAUCUGGCAUCUUCCAUGUUGUCUCAAAACCCGGUAUGGGGCAUAGGGUUGGAUGCUUCGGAGACCCAUUAGCAGGAAGUAGAGACCGGUGGCAGGCAUGUACACAAUCUCACCAACGGGAAGCCAACCUAGUAUCCUCUCUAUCUGAUCCGCAGUUAUGGAAUGAAGGUGGGAUAUCCAAUCUUUGACCCUUCUGGUAUUUCAAAUCCGGUCAUUCGUGUACCAAACUCCUCGAUGCAGCUUUUUCCCGUAGACCCGUAGUUUAUGUAUCGGGGAUGGUGACAGAGGUGUUCAAUCAUCCACAUUUGCAAUAACAGAUUGCACCCUCAAAAAACUCUUCUCCGACUUUACAAGAUGUGAGAGCUCAGAAAAUAUCUGAUACGAUCAUGGGUGCGAGGGCACUCUUGUCAUUGGUAGUCAAAACCUGAACAACACUAGCUACACACAAAUCAAUGUUCCUGUCCUUCCUUGGAAACACUAAGAGGCCUAAAAAUGCCACCAUGAAGGCAAAUCAUCUAUGUAUUUCCCACUUUGAUCGGUUUCUGUUACUUCAGAGUCCAUUCUCUGGGUCCUCCAAUCCUCUUAAAUGCCCAUACCGCUGGUAUAAAAAGUGUAAAGUGGAAAAUCCACCUGCCAAAUUUUCACUCUGGAUCUGCCUGCUUAUUUUCAGUAAAUCUAAAAACUUGUGAGGAGUAACGGCCCUUGGAGCUAUCAAGUAUUUGUGUCUUAAACCCUCUGUACUCCCAGCACCCACCAUUUCCUCCAAGGUAGGUGUAAGUUCAAAAUCUGAGAAAUGCAGAACAUUGUGUGCAAAAUCCCGGAAUGUUACCAAUGCAUCUAUUACAUCACUCCUAGGCUUAAUCUUCAAUAAUCCAGUGAGUGCCCCCAGGUAUUGGUUGACCUUGUCUCGCCCCUGUUUUCCUAAAUCCUCCUACCACAUGUGGAGUGCCAAUGGAAUCUGAGUCAUAACCUUCACCGGUAAAUUCUGAACCGUGCUCAUUCUGCAAAUUUAGGUUAUGGUGAUUGGGAUAAAACAUGUGAGUUUUGUUUUAAAACUGAUCAAAAGGUUAUUUGUGCAAAAUUCAAAUUAAAACAAAUCAUGACUACUCUUGCAAACACGGCCCUUCAGCACUUCAAAAGGGAAGAUUUUAGGGUUGUGCUUGCUAGAUGGCCAAAAAUUGACAAAGAGACCGUUGGUGGCUAUUCUUGCAAAAACGGCCUUUCGGCGUCCUAUCGGGACAUUUCUGGAUAUUUAUGCAAAAAUGGCAUCACCUAUCUUUAUUUAUGACAAAAAUGGCAAAAUUUUGGUUAUUUUUUGCAAAAAGAAAGGGCUAGACCCGACGAGGGUUGCCUAUGUAUCCCACAUCCGGUGAGAAUAAAACCUGCAUAGUUCAGUCAAUUUGUCGUAACAGGAAAGCAUGACUUGUUUUUAAAUGACUUUUCUCCUUUUUUUUUCUUUCUCCUUUUUUUUUCAAAAUUUUGGCGGAGUUUCGGGAUAUUUUGAACACCGUGUUUUUUCAAAAAACGGGUAAUUUUCUCUCUUACCUCAAUUUGGUUUUUCUUGACAUUUUCUCCCUAUUCUAGAAGCCAGUCAACAUGCAAACCGUAGCAAAUAAAUAUACAAGUAGCACGUAAGAAUGCAUCAGGAUGGUCUUUUUAAUUUGGGUACACCUGUCCUAGACGAACCCAACCCCUAUGUUGAGUCCCUAAAGUCAAAUGCACGUGAUGCAAAUAAGCGUUCCUACUAAGGAUACGGUAUGGGGCUAUGUUAUUCUAGGUUUAAAACCUGGGUGUAUUGUUCUAGACCUGGAUUACUCGAGCGGACAACUUGAGCCCCCGGGGGGGGGGGGGGGCAACGUACCGGUAACCAAAAGGCAAUCCAGCUUUGUAAGUGAUCUGAACCUCGUUCUAAAUUAGGGUAUGACUCUAACAGAAAAGAAGUCACGCCAUCGUGCACUUCCUAGAAGAUUUAGAAGACUCAGAGAGAAGAAGGGUUUCGUAACAGUUUAUAUACAGUUCAAACAAUAUCAAAGCGGUAAAAAGCGGCAUUUAGCACAUUAGGCUCAAACAUGUAAUAAAAUUAGAUAAUAAUUAAAAGCCAAGUAUAACAGUUAUUCUAAGCUCAAACUCUGAACCCUGAACCAGAGAUUCUGGGUCUUUUCCCCAGCAGAGUCGCUAGAGCUGUCACACCUUCUUUUUUCCGGGGGGGGGGGGGGAUAGGGAAGUUUUUUCAAUUUAAGUGACAUUAAUCGAAAUGAGAUUAUUUUAUUUAAUUCAGAGUCGCCACUUGGAAUAAUUUAUGGUGUCCCAAGUUACCGGUUUAUUUUAAAUCCCAAAUCGAGGAAAAUUGACUCUAUUUUUGGUCCGCAAAUAUAGAAGACCGGGUAAGGAAUUCUGUUAACCCGAGAGAAGGUGUUAGGCAUUCCCGGGUUUCGUGGUUUUAGCACGGUCACCCAACUAUUAAUAAUUGGCCUAAUUAUCUAAUUUAUUACAUGUUUUAAACCUAUUGUGCAUUUUCAAUUUUACACCGCUUUUAAUUAUUUAUGGAGUUAUUUCUAGAACAAGUUACGAUUGUCGUACACUUGUUUAUUUUUGUACAUGUUGCGAAUCAUGUCACGAGCACUGUACCCAUAAUCUACAAUAUGUGUAUUUUAUUAUUGUUCGAAGUUGUGGUCGGAUCACAUGAAAUGUGCACCAGAAUUUGAGAAUUAUUUAUCACGACUAUGCCACGGUAACCGUACCCAUAGCCAUGAUGAUUUACUUAAACGCGCCUAAAGCAAACUACGAAUGUUUAUGAGAUCUUAAGUUACGGUAUUUAUUUAGGUUACGUUAUGUAUAAUGAAUUAUCAUUGAAACACUUUGUGAAGUAAUUUGAUUCUAUUAUUAUGAAGAAUGCGUCACAGAAGGAGUCUAAGUUCAUCUCAACAAUAUCACCUUUAAUAGAUAUGUCUAGCAUUAAUUCUGUUUUGGGACAAAUGAAUUGACAUGGAUACAAAACAUGGAUCAAUGGUUUGGAAAUGAAUCUUUGGCAUUAAAUGCGUCCGAGCUGCAGUAGACUAUACCAAGCCUUAAUUGAUACAAUCAGAAGAAGAAACAGAGAUGGGCCUCUAUCAGAGCCCAAGCAACAUUCAAAUAGGUUCCAUUUUUUGGGACAACGUACUUCACCUAGGGAUUCAAAAGCAAUGAUCAUACAGAAUCACAUAGGCUUUGAAAUAAAUAGUUAAAACAAGAAAUGACUAACCAAAAGAAAAAUGUAUAAUAUGGAUAGAAACUCAUACGACAGACUUCAAUUAUAUUAUAAUUAAUAAUAAGAAAUGACAUUGCAUAGUCCUACUGAUUGCACUUGAUGCACUAGAUAAAUUACAUUUAUGUGAAGUGUUAUGGCCUGAUUCUGACCCCGUCUGGGCUAAUUGAUUUAACCAGCAGGGAUCCUGAUACUCCCUUCAUUACUACCCGGUUGGCUUGAAAUCUAAUCAGUGAUAGAUUUGAUCAAUUGGUGAUCAAAUUUAAUUACUGCCUAGCUUUGACCUUCACAUGCCAAUAUCAAAUCAAAAUUACACACUAAUUUCAUGAGCUAACACUCAAAUAAAGCAAUAGCAUUAUUUCCAUUAUAUGCUUAACGUUUUCUUUUUUCUUAAAACAAAUCUAGGUUUUGACUGAAGGAAUAGUUUUGAAACACUCUUCAUUAUUAAAUCAAGCAAAAAUAAUUUAAACCUAACAAAACAACCUUCAGUAGUGAUAAACCAACUUUAGCCACAUGAAACCAAACUUGCACAUCUUAUGGACACAGAAAAAGGAAGACUCAGAUUUUAGAAGUUCAUAACUAAACUGACAACAUGAAAUAUUCAAUACUACACAUAAACUGAAUUUUAGUUGAAGACAAAACAGAUUCACAACACCUUUUUAUCAUUAAAUAUAUGAAAUCCACAUGUGUCUCAUAGGUUGGAUAAUAGAACCUUUAUGUAGUUAAUACAUCAAACUUAAGCAUUCAGCUUACAUACAAAGAAGAAAAAGCCAAGCAAACAAGAACAAUCCAACCAAAAUAUAACAGGUAACUCCAAAUGGAACAAGCCUGAUAUUUUCAUAUAACUCAAAAACAGCAGCAGGUUUACAUACCUAAGAAACAGCAAGGAGCAAAAGAACACAAGGGCAAAAAGAUAAAUCUCUGAAUUUGGGGACAACUAAACCCAGAAUCUCACAACAGCUUGAUUCAAAGAAUAAGCAAACUCAACAACCAAAACAGUAAAUUCCAGCAGAAAUCUGAUGUUAAAAUCAGUAGAGAAGAUCCAGAUUGAAUUCUGAAAUUUUCUGUCUAAGUAUUUGUGUGUGCCUAUUUUGAGAGUGAAUAUGUUGAAAAGAAUCCCUCCCCUUAUGAGUGAGGGUUAUUUCUUUAUAUAGAGUGUAAGAAAAAUGCAUAAGGGUAGGAAUAAUAGAGAAUAUUUUCUCCUAAAAAUCAGAAAUGCCAACUGUAAAUAAGAAUAGUACAACAUUUGUUUUCAACAGAC
rnacentral:lncRNA from 1 species